AUUGAACGCUGGCGGCAGGCUUAACACAUGCAAGUCGAGCGGAGAUGAGGUGCUUGCACCUUAUCUUAGCGGCGGACGGGUGAGUAAUGCUUAGGAAUCUGCCUAUUAGUGGGGGACAACAUUCCGAAAGGAAUGCUAAUACCGCAUACGUCCUACGGGAGAAAGCAGGGGAUCUUCGGACCUUGCGCUAAUAGAUGAGCCUAAGUCGGAUUAGCUAGUUGGUGGGGUAAAGGCCUACCAAGGCGACGAUCUGUAGCGGGUCUGAGAGGAUGAUCCGCCACACUGGGACUGAGACACGGCCCAGACUCCUACGGGAGGCAGCAGUGGGGAAUAUUGGACAAUGGGCGCAAGCCUGAUCCAGCCAUGCCGCGUGAGUGAUGAAGGCCCUAGGGUUGUAAAGCUCUUUCACCGGAGAAGA
rnacentral:rRNA from 1 species